rnacentral:sRNA from 1 species
ACAUACAAAUCUCUAUCAUUAUAUUCGCCGUGACUGGGAUCUCUGCCCGUCUCACUCUUAAAUUAUCGCUAUAAUAUUUAUGGUAAUCUCCGCUUUUAUCAUCUAACCUUCUGCCUUCUAUGGUCAUGUGACCUAUUUCUCCUUUUCCGACAACGUCGUCUUGACAAACAGUUGGUGAGCAAGGGGAGGUUGGAUGCAACAAGGAGUAUGAAUAAAGACCAGUGGGAGUUUCAAUGAUUUUUUCUUUUUCACUCUCCUCUGUUCUCAGCAUGCAUGUUCUUUCACUUGAUAAAAGACUUCAACUGCAAUCCAACUCAAUGGGUUCACUUCUUUAUUGCGACCAUGUUAAGCAACAUGAUCAUUGAAUUGCUGGGAAACCCAUGAGCCUACUUGAUGAUUCC